UUUUUCAUUCAGUUUGCAUCAUAAAGACGAAUGGAAACUAUUUGUUUUGCCAAACAAAGGAGAUGAGAGUGAUACCUUCCAGCAACAAGUCGAGAAGUUGUUAUCCUUCUUAAAGAACGAAAUGGCUGAAUGUGACACACAGGUCUUGGACCAUUCAAGAAAUAAUGAGGAAAGCCUACUUCAAGAGUUUAGCUCGUCUUACACACAUCAGGAAUUGUAAAAGAACUCCACAAGACCUAAAAAAGAACACCACAGUUUCUUUUUGAAGAAUUCAGAUGUCCUAAAGGUUUAUGACAUAAAUCUUACUCUAGACUAACUUCUUUGCCACAAGCAGAUCACUUCACUUUCACUACCUCAAACCAUUUCUUGGGGCAGACUCUGCAAAGCCAUUUAUGUAUUCGGGUAAAAGAGAUCUUUUAAACUCGGAUGUACGUAUAUUAUAUCAUAAUACAGGUUUAAACUAUCUCUUCUUUACUGAACUGUUGGAAUUUUUCAUACAGACACAAUUCAACAUCUCGAGGUAAUUUCAGGUAUUAUGUUAGAAUUCAUUUCCUCAGAAAUUUAAAGUCUAUAGCCAUCUCGAGUGGGAAAACUCGAUUAUCUCAGUAUCCCACAACCCCCUCCGCCUCUUACCCUUGACUCUCCCCCCCUGGCCAGGCUUACAAAGGCACGACUUUAACUUCAGCAUUUUACUCUUGGGUGGCCCUAAAAUUGGGGAAAAAUUUCCCAGUAUCAUUUGUCACAUAUCAUCGGUCGAAAGGAAGAAUUCACAAAACUAGAAAUCUAUUCAGUUGACAGAAAACAUGCCUUUGACUUGCUGGCUGUCACAGAAUAUAUUAUUCGCAUUUUCAUAUUCUAAAAGUCUGCCGUACAUAUAUAUAGAUACAUAAAUUAUUCUUAAGUUUUUAAACGUUAUGCAAGGAAGUGUAAAUAUUCGGAGUAUAAAUGAUAUUUUUUCUGUAAGCUACUGCCUAGUUUUACACCAACAUUUGUGUCUCGUUUGAUAUACCUGAUUCGAGCAGCAAUUUGUCCUUAAAGGUUGCUUGUUUCAAAUAUAAGCAAGUUUUUAGCUAUCGUAGCCGUUUUGGUAGUAAGUGAUUCAGAGCUUCCAUACUCAGUUAAAAUUUCUAAGAGCCGUCAUAUGUAGAUUUUAAGCUACAUUUAAAAAUGACCAUAAGUCCAUUUUAAAAGGCUGAGAACCAAUAACACCUUUUCUAUAAAAAGAUAGCUAGUUGUGACGCUUUGAAAAACCUCAAACUUAUUUUGCCUCGUCUACGGAAAAAGAAUAUACAUAUCAUUUGUUGAAAAUUGACCUUAAUUUUUGUAAAAUUGUUCUCUUUCAUAUAAAGCUACAUUUCCUAUACAAAUAAUGAUGGCGAAGGUCCAUUUUGUAAUUAUUAGAUAAUUUCUGAGGAUAUUUUUGUCUUACUCGAGAGCGUGCUUCCUUGGAGCUGCAUUAUUUGCAGAAGCAUGAAACGUAAGGAUAAUCCAAAAAUUUGUUUAAAAAACUAUUGAAAUUAAGUAUUAAAUAAAAUAU